GUGUCAGCCGCCGCGGUAAGACGAACCGUGCGAACGUUGUUCGGAAUCACUGGGCUUAAAGGGCGCGUAGGUGGUUUGCCAAGUCGGGGUUGAAAUCUUUCGGCUCAACCGGAAAAGUGGCUUCGAUACUGGCAAGCUGGAGGGAGGUAGGGGCGGAUGGAACUUCCGGUGGAGCGGUGAAAUGUGUUGAUAUCGGAAGGAACGCCGGUGGCGAAAGCGAUCCGCUGGACCUCUUCUGACACUGAGGCGCGAAAGCCAGGGGAGCAAACGGGAUUAGAAACCCCCGUAGUCC
rnacentral:rRNA from 1 species